ACGGCCUCAUCUCGUUGAAACACUGGUUUCCGUACGAUCACCGAAGUUAAGCAACGUUGACCCUGAUGAGUAUCUAGAUAGGUGACUGCUUGGGAUGU